rnacentral:tRNA from 1 species
GCCCUGAUAGUGUAGCCUGGCAUAUCAUCCGGGACUGUCACUCCCGGGACACGGGUUCAAAUCCCGUUCAGGGCG